rnacentral:rRNA from 1 species
GAUAAACGCUGGCGGCGUGCCUAACACAUGCAAGUCGAACGAUCCCGCAAGGGAGAGUGGCGGAAGGGUGAGUAACACGUGGGAAUCUACCUCCUCGCAGGGAACAACCUCUCGAAAGAGAGGCUAAUACCCAAAAGGGUCAGAAAUGAUCAGAGUCGAAAGGCGUGAGGAGAGGAGCCCGCGGCCCAUCAGCUAGUUGGUGAGGUAAUGGCUUACCAAGGCUACGACGGGUAGGGGAUCUGAGAGGAUGUCCCCCACACUGGAACUGAAACACGGUCCAGACGCCUACGGGUGGCAGCAGUGAGGAAUAUUGGACAAUGGGCGAAAAGCCCGAUCCAGCAAACGCCGCGUGGAGGAUGAAGGCCUUCGGGUCGUAAAACUUCUUUAGAGGGAGACGAGAAAGGACGGUAUCCCUAGAAUAAGACGACGGCGAAAACUAACGUGCCAAGCAGACCGUCGGU